rnacentral:rRNA from 1 species
UACGGAGGGUGCAAGCGUUAUCCGGAUUCACUGGGUUUAAAGGGUGCGUAGGAGGGCAGGUAAGUCAGUGGUGAAAUCUUCGAGCUUAACUCGGAAACUGCCGUUGAUACUAUCUGUCUUGAAUACCGUGGAGAUGAGCGGAAUAUGUCAUGUAGCGGUGAAAUGCUUAGAUAUGACAUAGAACACCAAUUGCGAAGGCAGCUCGUUACACGAAUAUUGACUCUGAGGCACGAAAGCGUGGGAAUCAAACAGG